GACGAACGCUUGCGGCGUGCCUAAGAAAUGCAAGUCGAGCGGAGGCUUCGGCCUCAGCGGCGAACGGUCGCGUAACACGUAAGCAACCUGCCCCCAAGACCGGGACAACACUUCGAAAGGGGUGCUAAUACCGGAUGUGCCCACCGACUGCAUGGUCGGUGUGUAAAGCAGGCAACUGGCUUGGGGAGGGGCUUGCGGCCUAUCAGGUAGUUGGUGGGGUAAUGGCCUACCAAGCCUUCGACGGGUAGCUGGUCUGAGAGGAUGGUCAGCCGGACUGGGACUGAGAUACGGCCCAGACUCCUACGGGGGGCAGCAAUUAGGAAUCUUGUGCAAUGGGGGCAACCCUGACACAGCGACGCCGCGUGGGGGAGGAAGGCCUUCGGGUCGUAAACCCCUUUUGGCAGGGAAGAAACAAAUGACGGUACCUGCCGAAUAAGCCACGGCUAACUCCGUGCCAGCAGCCGCGGUAAUACGGAGGUGGCGAGCGUUGUCCGAAGUUACUGGGCGUAAAGCGCGCGUAGGCGGGUUCUUAAGUCUGCUGUGAAAGCCCGGAGCUCAACUCCGGCGGGCCGGUGGAUACUGGGAGCCUUGAAGGGGCUAGGGGGGAGUGGAAUUGCUGGUGUAGCGGUGAAAUGCGUAGAGAUCAGCAGGAACACCCGUGGCGAAGGCGGCUCCCUGGGGCCCUCUUGACGCUGAGGCGCGAAAGCUGGGGGAGCGAACGGGAUUAGAUACCCCGGUAGUCCCAGCCCUAAACGAUGGACACUAGGUGUCGGGGGUGUCGACCCCUCCGGUGCCGCCGCUAACGCAGUAAGUGUCCCGCCUGGGGAGUACGGCCGCAAGGUUGAAACUCAAAGGAAUUGACGGGGGCCCGCACAAGCGGUGGAGCAUGUGGUUUAAUACGUCACUAACCGUAGAACCUUACCAGGGCUUGACAUCCGACGCACCAGGGUGAAAGCCUUGUCCUCUUCGGAGGCGUCGAGACAGGUGUUGCAUGGCUGUCGUCAGCUCGUGUCGUGAGAUGUUGGGUUAAGUCCCGCAACGAGCGCAACCCUCACUCCCUGUUGCCAGCGCGUGGUGGCGGGAACUCUGGGAGAACUGCCCGUGCAAGCGGGAGGAAGGUGGGGACGACGUCAAGUCAGCAUGGCCCUUACGCCCUGGGCUACACACAUGCUACAAUGGGCGGCAGACAGACGGAUCCGAGGUCGUGAGACGGAGGCAACCCGUAAAUCCGCCCCCAGUUCGGAUUGCAGGCUGCAACUCGCCUGCAUGAAGCCGGAAUCGCUAGUAACCGCAGGUCAGCGAAACUGCGGUGAAUACGUUCCCGGGCCUUGUACACACCGCCCGUCACGUCACCUGAGUUGUCUGCAGCCGAAGCCGGUGGGGUAACCGCAAGGAGCCAGCCGUCGACGCUGUGGGGAGCGAGGGGGACGAAGUCGUAACAAGGUAGCCGUAUCGGAAGG
rnacentral:rRNA from 1 species